rnacentral:rRNA from 1 species
GAGUUUGAUCGUGGCUCAGGAUGAACGCUGGCGGCGUGCUUAACACAUGCAAGUCGAACGGGGAACCCUUGAAGGAGUUUUCGGACAACUGAUAGGAAUUCCUAGUGGCGGACGGGUGAGUAACGCGUGAGGAACCUGCCUUGGAGUGGGGAAUAACACAGUGAAAACUGUGCUAAUACCGCAUAAUGCAGUUGGGUCGCAUGGCUCUGACUGCCAAAGAUUUAUCGCUCUGAGAUGGCCUCGCGUCUGAUUAGCUAGUAGGCGGGGUAAUGGCCCACCUAGGCGACGAUCAGUAGCCGGACUGAGAGGUUGACCGGCCACAUUGGGACUGAGACACGGCCCAGACUCCUACGGGAGGCAGCAGUGGGGAAUAUUGGGCAAUGGGCGCAAGCCUGACCCAGCAACGCCGCGUGAAGGAAGAAGGCUUUCGGGUUGUUAAACUUCUUUUCUCAGGGACGAAACAAUGACGGUACCUGAGGAAUAAGCCACGGCUAACUACGU